CCUAAAAUUGUAAAACAUCAAGGAAAGCAGACGGAAGAGUUGUCAGCUGAUUGGAGAACACUUUGGCUGGCGCGGAUCAACAGAUCAGAUUUCAACCCGAGAAACGUCAUUUUAAAGUCAGUUCAGAUCACUUCGUUUCAGGAACAAAGGCUGAACUCUAUGACAAGACUAUUUAAAACCUGACUGGGCACCCUCUCUUAAGUUAGGACCUGUGGAACAAGAUCCAUCGAUAACUUUAUCAACAAAGAAGAAGUACGAGAGAGCCCAAAGCCGUGAUGCAUGAAAAUUGGAAAAGACACUGUCAAAACAGGCACUAGAUUUCCAGGAUGUUGAAAGACUUGAGGAUUGUGAUGUGAACUAUGAACUGUGAACUGUGCAAGUUUAGUUACAUUGGACCACUGGAAGCACUGACACCUAGAGAGGAAGACAAAAGCAAUAAGGAAGACCCAGACCUACUCCACAAGAUGCGUUGUGAACUGCAGAGGCAGUAAAACUGCAAAGAGUGAUGAAGCAACCGAUCCUCCAUGAUAAUUGCACAUUAGUAUCGUGAUAAUGGACAGAUAUCUUCAUUUGAGAACAUGAACCUCAAACCCAGGCCUGGUCAAGUUGAAAAAAUAGUAUUGCAUAAUAUUCUCAUUGAAGGAAAAUCACAUGUCCAUUGCCUUGCCAGGGUGAAAUGGUUAUGCAAAGUAAACGAAACAGUUUGACAUUAUUUUGGUAAACCAGUUGAAGUUUGGAAGGCCAAUAUGUAUGGAUGUGAAGGACCUGCUAGUUUUAUUCCCAUUCAAAGAAUAAAAUCCAAAUUUGUAUAUGCUUUUGAGAACUUUCAAGGAAUUAACACAAUCGUUGUUAUACCACGUGAAAGAUUCUUGUGACUUUGAUAUGCAUGAUAUGAAGCCGGACACAUAUGUUGAUCUGGAUAUAUACAGACACAAUUUGACUACCCAAGUCUGCACAUUACAAAAACUUGUGAAGUCGGGCACAUGCAGCUGAUGUGUGAAACCGGACACAUAGGUCUACAUAUACAUGCAUGUACAUCAACUAUUUGAUUACAUCAGUCUGCACAUUACAAAAACUUGUGAAGUCGGGCACAUGCAGCUGAUAUGUGAAACCGGACACAUAGGUCUACACAUACAUGUAUGUACAUCAACUAUUUGAUUACAUCAGUCUGCACAUUACAAAAACUGGUGAAGUCGGGCACAUGCAGCUGAUGUGUGAAGCCGGACACAUAGGUCUACAUAUACAUGUAUGUACAUCAACUAUUUGAUUACAUCAGUCUGCACUGCCACAUUACAAAAACUUGUGAAGUCGGGCACAUGCAGCUGAUGUGUGAAGCCGGACACAUAGGUCUACAUAUACAUGCAUGUACAUCCACUAUUUGAUAACAUCAGUCUGCACAUUACAAAAACUUGUGAAGUCGGGCACAUGCAGCUGAUGUGUGAAGCCGGACACAUAGGUCUACAUAUACAUGCAUGUACAUCCACUAUUUGAUUACAUCAGUCUGCACAUUAUAAAAACUGGUGAAGUCUGGCACAUGCAGCUGAUAUGUGAAGCCGGACACAUAGGUCUACAUAUACAUGUAUGUACAUCCACUAUUUGAUUACAUCAGUCUGCACAUUACAAAAACUGGUGAAGUCGGGCACAUGCAGCUGAUAUGUGAAGCCGGACACAUAGGUCUACAUAUACAUGUAUGUACAUCCACUAUUUGAUUACAUCAGUCUGCACAUUACAAAAACUGGUGAAGUCGGGCACAUGCAGCUGAUAUGUGAAGCCGGACACAUAGGUCUACAUAUAUAUGUAUGUAUGUACCCACUAUCUGAUUGCAUAAGUCUGCAUAUUACUUGUGAAACUGGACACAUAGGUCUACAUAUAUACAUACAUACACUCUAUGAUCAUUUUAGUCUGCACAUUACAGAAAAAUGUUUGCAUAGCAAAUACUAUUCAGGAAGGGUGAUAAUAUUCUUGCAAUGUAUACGUUUUCAAUCUAAUUUGAAGUGUUUAUUUUCCUGAUCUUAUAAGUAUUUUUGUAGUUAAUUAUUUAUUGACUGUAAAGUGUUACAUUAAGAUGGUAUUUAUUAUGUACAGGAAGCAGUUUUUUUAAUUUAUUUUGUAAUUAAAAAGUAUAUUAAUUUGAAGAAAA